AGUAACGCGUGGGUAACCUGCCUCAUACAGGGGGAUAACAGUUAGAAAUGACUGCUAAUACCGCAUAAGCGCACAGUGCUGCAUGGCACAGUGUGAAAAACUCCGGUGGUAUGAGAUGGACCCGCGUCUGAUUAGCUAGUUGGUGGGGUAACGGCCUACCAAGGCGACGAUCAGUAGCCGACCUGAGAGGGUGAUCGGCCACAUUGGAACUGAGACACGGUCCAAACUCCUACGGGAGGCAGCAUG
rnacentral:rRNA from 1 species